CCCGCAGGGAGCUGAGAGACUACGCGUCACAGGGGAGGGGGAGGGGCCGAGGCAUGAAAGCGCGCGGACUUGGCGCGAGGCUGAAGCUGCUCUGUCCCUCCCCCACCCACCCACGAAAAGAGGGAGACGGAGCCGCAGGCGGAGGGAUGGACACUCCCUGACAGAUCACCAGAGAGAGGGGCGGAUGCUCGUUCGUGCACAAGCUGCCCGAGCACCCCACCGCCCCGGCCCCCAUGCUGCAGGCAGAGAGGCGCGAGGCAGACGCGGGUGCCGGGGUGAGCGAGCGCGCUGAGAAGGAAGCGUGUCCCAGUUGCAACCUUCCAUCAGAGCGGUCUGACUGGACUAAUCUGAUUGUGUGAUUGGCUCCUACAUUGUUUUGGUUUUUUUCCGGCAACCCUGUGAGAGAAAUUCUAGAGUGCUUUAAUGAACUCCAGACUGCUGAGCAACAGUGUUAUGAAUGGUUCCUGUGCCCCAAAACACAAAUCAAGGCAAUUUGGGGCUGAAAACUUUAGGUUACAGUAUAUUGUCAAGUAGAAGAUGAGCUUUAAAGGUUACCUCCAAAGGAAAUCAAAGGUACUAGUGUGAUUUUUUUUUGUUAAUUCAUCGUGCUAUAUAAAAGGUUAUAUAAAGGCCUUAUUCCCAAAAAUGUGUUUGUCUCCUUUAUUUUAGCCUGAAAAAUAUAAAAAUAUCAUGUUUUCCUUGCUAGUUUUGUUGGACAAAAUAGAAGUUUUCUCAGCUCAUGCGUGAAGAAGGGAGGGAUAAUGAGAUUUACAGAGAAAUGCUUUCUAUCACUUUUUCAUCAGAAUUUUCCUAAUGUCUUAAAUUGACAUUACCAAAAUUAAAAAGAAAAAAACAAGGACAAACUUCUGUUUUGUUGAGUUUCUGCUAAGAAGCACAGCUUUUUAUGGCUCCCUAGUUCUCAAGGUGGAUCUGAGCCAGCACCAGAGUAGGUAAGAACAGCCUUGGUUCACUAACUUAACAACAAAUUGCCCAAAGGAUUAUAUUCCAAAAGGGGAUCAUCAGAACACAGUGCACUCCAGACACACUCUGACCUGACAGCUUUCUACCCCUUAUGCUUGGGUAGAGAGGGUAUCAACCACUCAGAAACUGAAUAUGCCAGGUGACCAGCAACUGAGAGCUCCCUAUGCUGGGGCAGUACUCAAUAAGUCAGAUCCAUUUGCUUUUUUUCUUCUUCUUCUUCUUCCAGAGUAGCACAGAAGGGCCAGAAUUCAUCAGAAAAACUAUCCCAAGAAGUUUUAAAUAGUCUGACUAAAAAUCCCUUGCCCCUCUAAAGUGUUUAGUUUUCACUCUUUGUACAUGUGAUGUAAUCUUAUUAGGAAUCCAGGAGUUCAGUGUCUUCCAGGAAAAACAGAGUAGGCAAAAUCUAAAAUGCAAAUAUAAAAAGCUACACAGAAAGAAAAGCAUGCAGCCUAUCCUCACUUCCCAAAAAAUCAACCGUCCACUUUUCAAGCUUUUAUUACUCAAUAUGUAGAUGCAAUAAAUAAGUGGCACAUACAUUUUAAAGAUAACUGCAAGAGGAAAAAGUAUCUAGUAAAAAAUUCUUUAUCUUUCUGCAGAGAUGCUAUUUAACCAUCAGGGCAUUCUUUACAUAACACAUUAGGUUUUUUCAUGGCAUGCAUGGAAAAUGGAGUUUAAUAAAAAUGAUGUUUUCAAUCUGAUACUUACCAUUCCUACUUAAAGAGUUAAUGAGGUGUAUAGCAUAUUUAUCCACGUAUUUGCAGCCAAAUGUUCAAAGCAGAAAGAUCUGGAAUCCAAUGAUGUAAUUUCAUGUCAUAGGAAACAUUUUUUAGUAUUACCCACAUCUAACCUCAUGGUCAAAUCCCCAAUUGAUUUCCUGCAUAAAAAGAAGAAUUACAAGUGAGCACUGUGGCAGGAUUUGAGCAAGCCUUGGGGAAGUGACCUGGACUGUGUAGAGGAGCAUGAUGAAAUGCUUCCUUUUAACCAUGAAAGAGACUUUAGUACAUUGACACGUACUUGGGAGCAUCAAGAAGUAUUUAGAGGUGAUCCAAUAGUGUGUCAUCACUGAAAAGCUUAUAAACAAACUUUUUUACAUGAUCUUUUAAAAGGUUUUUGCAACAAACAAGAAGGCAUUUUGGAAGAUUAACUUGUGUGUCCAUGGUCAACGGGAGCUAGGGUCAAAGUAGGCUUUAUCAGACCUUUUGCACAUAGAAUGUAAUGUUCUUAGUUUUAAAUAACUAUUGCUGUUGGUUUGGACCAACUUAAGUUUACAACAGUACUGUGUACACAUUUGUAUCAUGAUAAUAUAUUGCAUUACAUUACUGUUGAAAGAAACUACCAUCCUUGUACUGAAUUGUUUGGAAGCAUGACAUGAAAGACACUGUCUCAAAACCAUUACAGUGCCUUCCCUGUGAUUUAUGAAAAUAUGCUUAUGAAUAUGCAUAAAUGGAAAUACUUUGUGCACAAUUAUUAUUGUAAGAUAUUGGAAAGCUUGUAAUCUACUCAUUGUGUAUAUUCUAUUUGCAUGCAUUACCAUUUCUGCAGUUGAAGUUUGGAAUAUUGACUGUAGAUCUAUCAUCAACGUGUUUCAUGUUGGGAAAAGCCUUUUACCAGACCAUCAGGAACAAUAAUAAAGAAGCCAAACACAGAGCUAAUGGCCCACUAGCAAGACUCAAGUGGGAAAGAACUGUCUUCCUGCAAAUAUGCUACAACGACAUGAUCAUGUCACCUGAUGCUGGAUCUUGAAUUUUGUACUUUCACAGAGGUGUGGGGGAAUCUAACAAGGCUUCUCACCCUAGGGAAAUUCUAAGUAAACAAUGAUUGUCUUUAGCUUUACAGACAACUAGUGCACCCCAAGAGGAUACAUGAAAACACCAAGUAGCAAAAGAAUUGUAACGAGAGGAUGGAUCCAGGUCAGAAAAGACAUUUCAUCUGAAAUAAGAGUUAGAGUGAAAAAUUAUGAUUUGUAACUAAUUAUCUUAGUGUAUUAAGCUCAGUUUGUGUGUUCGUUUUGUUUAGUAACCUACAUUGUUCUCUUAUCUCUUUUGACCACUUAAAUCCUACUUUUAAUACACGUCUUUAUUAAUAAACCCAGUGUAAAUAACUGAUAUGAGGGGGCAAGCACAAGGGUGGAGUUUCGAGAGAACGGGGGUGAGUGGGGAGGGAAGAGAGGGCGGCGGCAGCAGCAGUGAACACUGGGACACAGCUUGUUUUUCUUCCUGCUCCCCUGACGAUAAGAGAAUGAGGGGAAAGUACUUGGAUUCUGUGCAGGCCUCUCACUCCUGGCUGGUGAAGGGAGGGGGCAGAGGUGUAAAUCACGGAAUCCAAGUUCUUUCCCCUUGCUCCCUGAUGGUCAGGGAAGCAGGAAGAAAAGCAAGCUGUAGUAAGAUGAAGGCCUAAAACAUAAGUCCAGGUAGUACAGGCCUAGCUAACAAUGGACAACACUUGGCUAAUAUAAAAAGCAAAGCUAAGCGGUGAGCAAGAGGCAGGCACCGGCUCACAGAACUUGGCACAAACAGGGCUAUGAUUGCAAAACACUAAUUGGUAAUAUGCCCAGGUGUUGAACAGUAGUUGGUUAUGGGCAUAAGUUGAAAGCACAUGGUAACACCAGGUCAUUAAAAAGGAUCCUGCUACACACUCCCCACAGAUACAGACCCAGGUUCAGGAAAGAGUCUAAAAUGACAGCAUGAUGGAUAGAAAUGAUCUAAUCAAACCAUGAGGUACAGGGUGAUGGGUGGGAUUUAAGUAGGAUCAGAGGGUGGUAACCUGACCUGUCAGGAGUGAUGUAUAACUUGUUUGUAUCUGUAUAUAAAGUGGUGUCUUGGGAGGACAGUCUUUGGAUGACCGGGGGUGGGAGGGUGGACAGGGCUGUGGGACCUCCCACUUAUUGAGUCAUUCCAUUGUUACGAGUACAUAUGUGUAAUGGUUCAGUAGAGUCUACUGACAACUAUUACUGUACUUUGCUUAACAAUAAACCUGACUGAGCACCUUCGGUCCUAAUCUGAUUUGUGGGUUUUGGGGGCUCUUUUGGGGUCUGCUGUGAAGACUAAGUGCACAGUUUGACAGCACACACCAUGGAGCACACAUGCAAUCAGUCUUCUGGUUAUCAUCAUCCAUGAAGCCAGAGAUCUGUGAGGACACCUUGGCAGUAAAUCCUGACCCUGCCUGAUUGACUGCUCAAGCCACAUCCCGGUGCACCCAGCUGCUGCCCGUCACCCCCAUUCUCUCUAAACUCCAUCCUUGGGCAAACAGCUGUGCAUAUCUAACUUCAAUUGGUAAAGGAGGUGAACAUUUUAUGAGCUUGCUUUGUAUACACUUUAUACAGAGUAAAAUGGACUUAUCUGGGAUUUUGAUCCCAUUGUGGCUUCAUCUGGGUGUUGUUGUCAAGUCCCUUUGAACCUUCCCAGAGCUGAGUUGAUCUCAUUGUCUGUAUGGCUCUGCUGAGGGCUGCAACCCCAACUCUUUGCCAACACUGGAGCAAACCACAGGGUCGUUCUAAACAGGGUAGGGUGGUGGAGUGUCCCAAAAAACAGGAAGGCAGUCUCACUGGUAUUUCAGCACAUCGAGUAACAGUCUCAAGGGGAUUUUUUUGCCCAAACCUGUCACACGUACUACUGUGAUAUAAAAAAGUUAUGUUUCAAAGGAAUGACACAGAAUAUGUAAGUAUGUCUUGUAUCUCAAAUAAGCCAAUCACUUCUCCAUUUAACUGAUUUUAACUGGAUCCCAACAAGUGCAGCAACAAAGUGAACUGAGUUAGUACAGUGAGGAGGUCUUUGUUUACAAGCUACAUCAAGUUCCAAUGUUUAGAUUCAGUCUCAGAUAACCAACAGCUACAAUUUUUUUCAAAUAACAAUUCUCUGAACACUGAAUCCAGAACUUCCUAGAUCUAAAAUACACAAUAAUCUGUCGUUUAUACCACAGUAAGUGCUAUAUUGGCACAUUCCGAAGGAUCUGGGUCCAUAGCUUUGUACUUUUUCCCCAGGCCAAGUCUGUUCUUAAGGAUUCAGGUCCAGAGAUGAUGCUCAGAUACCUAGCUGCACUCCAGAACAAAGCAUUUCCAACCAUCCAUUCUGUCACCCUAUAAAGCAGCAAGGAGUAAUCUAAGCUAGUGAAUGGACUGCAUAAAUGGCCCUCUAGCUCAUUGGGUUGCAAGAUUGUCAUAACCAAGACUGUCUCCUCAGUUAGGGUAGAUUUGCUAACUGCACUUGCAUAUCUAGAAUAUGCAAGUUGUGCCAUUUGAAACAUAGCAGUGCUUUGAUUGGAUGCAGUGAGAAUGCAUCUUUUUCACAGUCAAUAUUGUGUGUAAUCAACAUGCACCUCAUUUCAUGUGCUCUUGCUUUGUCACUUGAGAAGUACUGGUAGGAAAAAACUAUGUGCAGAGAAACCUGUGAAAUCUGCAACUCUGUACAUGGGCAAUGGUAAACAAAAUGUCUUGUAGGUCACAUAGAACAUCAGUGAGCUGCAUGUGGCCCACAGGAUGCAGGUUCCCUACCACUGCUGAUGUUUGUCCAUCGUGUUCGAAGAGGACCUUGACAUCUAACGAGUUGUGGGCUGUCCACGGUGUGU